AGCUCCAAUAGCGUAUAUUAAAGUUGCUGCAGUUAAAAAGCUCGUAGUUGCAUUUCCGAGGCAAGGGAUUAGUCCGACCUUUGGUGGGUAUUUAAUCCUCUUGCCUCGUCCUUGAGUGGUGCUUCUUGGUAUUAAGUUAUCGAGGAGAUAGCCGCUCAUCGUUUACUGUGAGAAAAUUAGAGUGUUCAAAGCAGGCUUAUGCCGUUGAAUAUAUUAGCAUGGAAUAAUAAGAUAGGACCUCGGCACUAUUGUGUUGGUUUGAGAACCAAGGUAAUGAUGAAUAGGGACAGUUGGGGGUAUUCGUAUUCAGUUGUCAGAGGUGAAAUUCUUAGAUUUACGGAAGACGAACUACUGCGAAAGCAUUUACCAAGGAUGUUUUCA
rnacentral:rRNA from 1 species